rnacentral:rRNA from 1 species
UACGUAGGGUGCAAGCGUUAAUCGGAAUUACUGGGCGUAAAGCGUGCGCAGGCGGUUAUGUAAGACAGGUGUGAAAUCCCCGGGCUUAACCUGGGAACUGCAUUUGUGACUGCAUAGCUAGAGUACGGUAGAGGGGGAUGGGAAUUCCGCGUGUAGGCAGUGAAAUGCGUAGAUAUGACGGAGGAACACCGAUGGCGAAGGAGCAAUCC